UCAGUUGUGAAAGUUUGCGGCUCAACCGUAAAAUUGCAGUUGAUACUGGCUGUCUUGAGUACAGUAGAGGUGGGCGGAAUUCGUGGUGUAGCGGUGAAAUGCUUAGAUAUCACGAAGAACUCCGAUUGCGAAGGCAGCUCACUAGACUGCAACUGACACUGAUGCUCGAAAGUGUGGGUAUCAAACAGGAUUAGAUACCCUGGUAGUCCACACAGUAAACGAUGAAUACUCGCUGUUUGCGAUAUACAGUAAGCGGCCAAGCGAAAGCAUUAAGUAUUCCACCUGGGGAGUACGCCGGCAACGGUGAAACUCAAAGGAAUUGACGGGGGCCCGCACAAGCGGAGGAACAUGUGGUUUAAUUCGAUGAUACGCGAGGAACCUUACCCGGGCUUAAAUUGCAUUUGAAUAAUCUGGAAACAGGUUAGCCGCAAGGCAAAUGUGAAGGUGCUGCAUGGUUGUCGUCAGCUCGCGCCGUGAGGUGUCGGCUUAAG
rnacentral:rRNA from 1 species